GGGGGUAUUUGCAAAUGGGCGCAGCCUGAUGCAGCCAUGCCGCGUGUAUGAAGAAGGCCUUCGGGUUGUAAAGUACUUUCAGCCGUGAGGAAGGUUCAUGCGUUAAUACCGGAUGGAUUUGACGUUACCUGCAGAAUAAGCACCGGCUAACUCCGUGCCAGCAGCCGCGGUAAUACGGAGGGUGCGAGCGUUAAUCGGAAUUACUGGGCGUAAAGCGCAUGCAGGUGGUUUGUUAAGUCAGAUGUGAAAUCCCGGGGCUCAACCUCGGAAUUGCAUUUGAAACUGGCUAACUAGAGUACUGUAGAGGGGGGUAGAAUUUCAGGUGUAGCGGUGAAAUGCGUAGAGAUCUGAAGGAAUACCGGUGGCGAAGGCGGCCCCCUGGACAGAUACUGACACUCAUAUGCGAAAGCGUGGGGAGCAAACAGGAUUAGAUACCCUGGUAGUCCACGCCGUAAACGAUGUCUACUUGGAGGUUGUGGCCUUGAGCCGUGGCUUUCGGAGCUAACGCGUUAAUUAAACCGCCUGGGAAGUACGGCCGCAAGAUUAAAACUCAAAUGAAUUGACGGGAGCCCGCACAAGCGGUGAAGCAUGUGGUUUAAUUCGAUGCACCGCGAAGAACCUUACCUACUCUUGACAUCCAGAGAACUUUCCAGAGAUGGAUAGUGUGUCUUCGGGAACUCUGAGACAGGUGCUGCAUGGCUGUCGUCAGCUCGUGUCGUGAAGAUGUUGGGUUAAGUCCCGCAACGAGCGCAACCCUUAUCAUUAUUUGCUAGCGAGUAUGUCUGGAACUCCAUGCGACUGACAGAUCGAUAAAGCAGGAGGAAGGUUGACGGUACAACCUCUCAGUGC
rnacentral:rRNA from 1 species